ACAGCUGACGUCAUUCCUCAAAAGAUUACUUCAGAAAGCACAACUCUAGCAUAAAGCGUCCUGCUCAUGGGCAAAGUCCUGGGGAGCGUUGACGUGUUAAUGACGUUUACGAAGUACCCAGAGAUACUUGCAAGACUAGAGCGGAUCCUUAACCACGAAUCACCCGCCCAUCUCUGGCAUUCCUGGAUCCGGACGGACGGAGGGGCUUUGUGGGAGGAAGAAGAGUAAGUCAGAGCAAGUCAGAGCAGUUCUGGCCCCAGACAUCGAAAGUUUUUUGCAAUAGGUCCCAAACUUAAUUAGAUGCAUCUGAAUUAACACUGCCGGGGUCCCCAGCAGGUGAAGUGAUAGAUGAUGGAGUGGUAGCGUCCUGCCAGCUGCCAUUUGUCUGGAAAUAAAGAGAAGAUCAAUGAAGAGAGGAAAGCAGAAGAGGAGUUUUGGACAGCAGACUGAUCAUGGAUCAACACAUCCAGCAUUGCACUCCUCAGUCCUGUAACUGGACUGAUGGUCUGGUGGCCAGCCAUAAACUGUGAGGCUCAGAAAAUAAGGAAGGAGUUCUUGCAAUCAGCUUUUUGUGAAAGAAGACCAAUCUGACACCCAGGGAGGCUGGACUUUUCUGGGUGAAGAAACAGAGUACCUAAAGAAGAGCCAGCAGCCUAUCUUGGCAAUGCCAGUAGCCCUAAUAUUAGGCCACUGAGAUACACCUUCAGCUUUGACUUUUUAUACUGGGCAUCUAGUAAGAUAGGUUCACAAACACCAAUAACUAAAAAGGAAAGCAAAGGAUCAAGUUUUUAUUUAGCAAAUGCUAAAUAAAGAGGGAGAAAAUUCCAAUGAAAAGCAAAGUAAGAGCCUAGGGUUUUUGCUAAAGAAAGGAGACCAUGCAGGAUAUCAAGAGAUAUUACAGGAUUACAAGAUAGAUAUCUGUAUUACAAAGGAAAAGUCAGUCUAAGAAGUGAUAUUUGCAGGUCUUUUAAAAACCAGGUACCAUUACUUUAUAAGCUUUUGAACUUCUAAGUUACAUCUUUGGGUCUUCCCUACAGAAUUCAUUCUGUCGAUACCACUAUACUUUAGCACAAAUAAUCCUUAGGAAAGCUAAGUAUGUCAUACUUGCUUAAUGGGUAGCAGGGGAAUAGGUUAGCAACCAGAACCACAUUAUGGAUUAAUUUUUGGCUAGAAAAGACCAAUUUCCCAGCUGGAUAUGCCAAUAGCUCUCUUGAAGAAAGAGAGAUGGAUGUGUUUGAGAAUGUGUAUUUGGGAGCCAAAGAGGAUAUUUGAUCUGCACAUAUAGUCUUAGAGAGAUAUUGCACCAGAGAUGAUACAAUCCUUUUUUUGUAAACUUUAAUGAAUUAUUCUGAAACUCUGGUCACUUACAUCAAUUCGCUGCGUUGUAUACAAAGGGUUUCCGACAAGGGAGUCGUAUCUGCCCGUCUGAUGUAUAACAUGAUGUAAAGAAUCCAUCUGCAACAAUACCCAACAUGAUCACUCAUCACAUCAUACACUCUGGCUCAUUUCAAAGGGGGAAAACCCACAGUAAAAUGAUAAUCUUUCCAAUGAUGUCUACAAACCAGGCAUAAUAGAUAUGUAACAAGGAAAGUGACAGCUAGGUGGCGCAGUGGAUGGAGUGUUGGAUUUGGGAUCAGGAAAACUUGACUUUGAAUACAGGUACUGCCACAGGCACUUACUAAACUGUGUAACUCUUAGUCUGUUUCCUCAUAUAUAAAAUGGGGAUAAUAAUAGCACUUCACAGGUUGUGAGGAUGAAACAAGAUCUAUCACCUUAAAGCCUUACAUAAUGGUUAUUAUUCUCAAAACUGCUAUGCCCCCAGAGUCUCCUAAAACCACAAGUUCUAGGAUCAUGGAUCUUGAGAUGGGAGGGCCCUCAGAGGUCAUGUAAUCUUCAUAGAAAGGUGUUUCUGUCCAGGUGAGGGCUAGAUGGGUAAUUCCAAGGCCCUGGAAAUAGUUAUAGCUUCCACACCCUAUAGGGGACCACAACACAAGCAGAAGAAAACUGCAGAGGGCUGGGCUCUCUAUGUCUUCCUUUACCUUACUUCCCCCUUGUUUCCAUGGGGAAGGUACAAAUAUCUUUUUACUGAUGGAUUUAGACUGAGUAAGGUGUUUUCCAUUGUGGCCUAAGGGAAGGGCAGGUUUUCAUUAAGCAAUAGUGGAAAGCAAUUCAAGGUCUCUAGUAAAAAUAUGUUUUCUCUCACUCAAGCCCAGUUGUAUAGGGAAUUCCAGUUUGGGUAUGUUGAACUAGGUGAAAUAUGAAUUCCCAGGGGCAGCUAGGUGGUGCAGUGGAUAGAGCACCGUCCCUGGAGUCAGGAGUACCUGAGUUUAAAUCCAGCCUCAGACACUUAACACUUACUAGCUGUGUGACCCUGGGCAAGUCACUUAACCCCAACUGCCUCACUAAAAAAAAAAAAAGAAAAAGAAAAAAAGAAAUAUGAAUUCCCUUUCAAUGCUAAGAUUCUGUAAUUCUGAAACUGUACAUUGAUGUUUGCAUUUAAAAUUAAUACUUUCGGGGGCAGCUAGGUGACGCAGUGGAUAAAGCACCAGCCCUGGAUUUAGAAGGACCCGAGUUCAAAUCCAACCUCAGACACUUGACACUUACUAGCUGUGUGACCCUGGGCAAGUCACUUAACCCUCAUUGCCCUGGCCCUCCCCCCGCCAAUAAAAGCUCUGCUCUGGAAUAUAAAUUUCCUUGAGGGCAAUAAACUCUGUGUAAAAUUAAUACUUUCUCAAAAUGCUACCCUAAAAUUCAGGCCAAAAUUUCAGAGUUGGAAGAGAUCUCAGUGGUCAUCUAAGCCCUCCACUACAUCCCUUAUAGGUAUUUGUCCAGCUUUCGAAAUCCUACAAUGAGGAGGAACCCACUAUCUCCACAAGCAGUCUAUUCUACUUUUGGAUAGCUAGUUCAGGUUCUUAUCUUUCACCUAGACUAUUGCAACAAUCUCCUAAUUCUUGUCCCAGCCUCAAGUCAAACAGGUGCCAAAGUGCUAUUUCUAAAUACAGGUCUGAUCAUGUCAUUUCUGUAGAAGCAUACAACACUAAGGCCUCAGCAAUGCUAGAAAAAAAAAUGCUGUGAUGACAAUGUCUUCAUCUGAAGCCCUUGAUCUCACUUGAAUCAAAGACCUAAUUAAUUUUCCUAAAUGGAAUAGGGAUAGGGCCUGGAUCUAGGAUUUCACAGGUUUGGGGAAUCCCUCUACAAAUGCAGGUUUGUACCUUGCCUUAGUCACUGGGAGAUUAAGGGAACUGCCCAGUAUCACACAGCCAGUGUGUGUCAGAAGCAGGUCUUCCUGAUUCCAAAAGCAGCUCUCUAUCCCUUAUCCUAAGGCUGCCACCUCACAUUUCAAUUUCAAGGAGGGAUCCUGAUUCCUUGAAAUUCAGAGAAUUGGUCUUGUAAACAAAGCCAGGUGGUGGGAAUUUCUUUUUGGUCUUGGUGAUCAAAGUCGGGGUGGUAAUUAAUGUCUUUUUGUUUAAUCCAGUUGAGGGGUUUUUCUUUGUUCACCUUUGGCCAGAUUGAAAGAUUUUAAGAGAAUGUAAUUGGUAACAUUACAAUAA